rnacentral:rRNA from 1 species
GACGAACGCUGGCGGCGUGCUUAACACAUGCAAGUCGAACGGAAAGGCCCUGCUUUUGUGGGGUGCUCGAGUGGCGAACGGGUGAGUAACACGUGAGUAACCUGCCCUUGACUUUGGGAUAACUUCAGGAAACUGGGGCUAAUACCGGAUAGGAGCUCCUGCCGCAUGGUGGGGGUUGGAAAGUUUCGGCGGUUGGGGAUGGACUCGCGGCUUAUCAGCUUGUUGGUGGGGUAGUGGCUUACCAAGGCUUUGACGGGUAGCCGGCCUGAGAGGGUGACCGGCCACAUUGGGACUGAGAUACGGCCCAGACUCCUACGGGAGGCAGCAGUGGGGAAUAUUGCACAAUGGGCGGAAGCCUGAUGCAGCAACGCCGCGUGCGGGAUGACGGCCUUCGGGUUGUAAACCGCUUUCGCCUGUGACGAAGCGUGAGUGACGGUAAUGGGUAAAGAAGCACCGGCUAACUACGUGCCAGCAGCCGCGGUGAUACGUAGGGUGCGAGCGUUGUCCGGAUUUAUUGGGCGUAAAGGGCUCGUAGGUGGUUGAUCGCGUCGGAAGUGUAAUCUUGGGGCUUAACCCUGAGCGUGCUUUCGAUACGGGUUGACUUGAGGAAGGUAGGGGAGAAUGGAAUUCCUGGUGGAGCGGUGGAAUGCGCAGAUAUCAGGAGGAACACCAGUGGCGAAGGCGGUUCUCUGGGCCUUUCCUGACGCUGAGGAGCGAAAGCGUGGGGAGCGAACAGGCCUAGAUACCCUGGUAGUCCACGCUGUAAACGGUGGGUACUAGGUGUGGGGUCCAUUCCACGGGUUCCGUGCCGUAGCUAACGCUUUAAGUACCCCGCCUGGGGAGUACGGCCGCAAGGCUAAAACUCAAAGGAAUUGACGGGGCCCCGCACAAGCGGCGGAGCAUGCGGAUUAAUUCGAUGCAACGCGUAGAACCUUACCUGGGUUUGACAUGGAUCGGGAGUGCUCAGAGAUGGGUGUGCCUCUUUUGGGGUCGGUUCACAGGUGGUGCAUGGCUGUCGUCAGCUCGUGUCGUGAGAUGUUGGGUUAAGUCCCGCAACGAGCGCAACCCUUGUUCACUGUUGCCAGCACGUUAUGGUGGGGACUCAGUGGAGACCGCCGGGGUCAACUCGGAGGAAGGUGGGGAUGACGUCAAGUCAUCAUGCCCCUUAUGUCCAGGGCUUCACGCAUGCUACAAUGGCUGGUACAGAGAGUGGCGAGCCUGUGAGGGUGAGCGAAUCUCGGAAAGCCGGUCUCAGUUCGGAUUGGGGUCUGCAACUCGACCUCAUGAAGUCGGAGUCGCUAGUAAUCGCAGAUCAGCAACGCUGCGGUGAAUGCGUUCCCGGGGCU